AUCUAGCCCUGCUAGUCGCACGAGUUCAGACUCGUGGCGAAUAGCUCAGUAACACGUGGUAAACUACCCUUCGGAACACAAUACCCUCGGGAAACUGAGGCUAAUAGUGUAUACCAUACCACCACUGGAAUGAGUGGUAUGCCAAACGCUCCGGCGCCGAAGGAUGUGGCUGCGGCCGAUUAGGUAGACGGUGGGGUAACGGCCCACCGUGCCAAUAAUCGGUAUGGGUCAUGAGAGUGAGAACCCAGAGACGGAAUCUGAGACAAGAUUCCGGGCCCUACGGGGCGCAGCAGGCGCGAAACCUUUACACUGCACGACAGUGCGAUAGGGGGAUCCCAAGUGCACAGGCAUAGCGCCUGUGCUUUUCGGUACCCUAAGGCGGUACCAGAAUAAGGGCUGGGCAAGACCGGUGCCAGCCGCCGCGGUAAUACCGGCAGCCCAAGUGAUGGCCGAUCUUAUUGGGCCUAAAGCGUCCGUAGCUGGCCGCGCAAGUCCAUCGGGAAAUCCACCUGCUCAACAGGUGGGCGCCCGGUAGAAACUGCGUGGCUUGGGACCGGAAGGCGCGACGGGUACGUCCGGGGUAGGAGUGAAAUCCCGUAAUCCUGGACGGACCGCCGAUGGCGAAAGCACGUCGCGAGAACGGAUCCGACAGUGAGGGACGAAAGCCAGGGUCUCGAACCGGAUUAGAUACCCGGGUAGUCCUGGCCGUAAACAAUGUCUGCUAGGUGUGGCUCCCACUACGAGUGGGUGCUGUGCCGCAGGGAAGCCGCUAAGCAGACCGCCUGGGAAGUACGUCCGCAAGGAUGAAACUUAAAGGAAUUGGCGGGGGAGCACUACAACCGGAGGAGCCUGCGGUUUAAUUGGACUCAACGCCGGGACAUCUCACCAGCAUCGACUGUAGUAAUGACGAUCAGGUUGAUGAUCU
rnacentral:rRNA from 1 species